UACGUAGGGGGCAAGCGGUUGUCCGGAUUCAUUGGGCGUAAAGAGCGUGUAGGCGGCCCGGUAAGUCCGCUCUGAAAGUCCAGGGCUCAACCCUGGAAAGCGGGUGGAUACUGCCGGGCUAGAAUCCGGAAGAGGCGAGUGGAAUUCCUGGUGUAGCGGUGGAAUGCGCAGAUAUCGUAAGGAAGACCGGUGGCGAAAGCUAGUCUCUGGACAGUCACUGACACUGAGGCACGAAGGCCAGGGGAGCAAACGGG
rnacentral:rRNA from 1 species